GGAUGAGAAUCAUUCACAAUGGGGGAAACCCUGAUGGUGCGACGCCGCGUGGGGGAAUGAAGGUCUUCGGAUUGUAAACCCCUGUCAUGUAGGAGCAAAUUAAAAAGAUAGUACCACAAGAGGAAGAGACGGCUAACUCUGUGCCAGCAGCCGCGGUAAUACAGAGGUCUCAAGCGUUGUUCGGAAUCACUGGGCGUAAAGCGUGCGUAGGCUGUUUCGUAAGUCGUGUGUGAAAGGCGCGGGCUCAACC
rnacentral:rRNA from 1 species